rnacentral:rRNA from 1 species
AUUGAACGCUGGCGGCAGGCUUAACACAUGCAAGUCGAGCGGAGUGAUGGUGCUUGCACUAUCACUUAGCGGCGGACGGGUGAGUAAUGCUUAGGAAUCUGCCAUUUAGUGGGGGACAACAUUCCGAAAGGAAUGCUAAUACCGCAUACGUCCUACGGGAGAAAACAGGGGAUCUUCGGACCUUUCGCUAAACGAUGAGCCUAAGUCGGAUUAGCUAGUUGGUGGGGUAAAGGCCUACCAAGGCGACGAUCUGUAGCGGGUCUGAGAGGAUGAUCCGCCACACUGGGACUGAGACACGGCCCAGACUCCUACGGGAGGCAGCAGUGGGGAAUAUUGGACAAUGGGCGGAAGCCUGAUCCAGCCAUGCCGCGUGUGUGAAGAAGGCCUUUUGGUUGUAAAGCACUUUAAGCGAGGAGGAGGCUCUCCUAGUUAAUACCUAGGAAGAGUGGACGUUACUCGCAGAAUAAGCACCGGCUAACUCUGUGCCAGCCGCCGCGGUAAAAC